UUUUUCUCCACCAUAUAUAUUCUUUCCUCUGUAAACUGCAAAAUCCCCUUUCUCUUCUCUUAAUAUAUCUCUCAAAAUUUUCUAAUUUGUUUCUUCUUGAAUUUGAAGAUGAAUUCAGUUAGAUUGAUGAGCCUCUCAUCUAUUAUUGGAUUUUUGUUGUUGGCUUUGGUUGAGUUUAGUUUUGGACAAGACAUGGCUCCUUCUUCAGCCCCACUUCCUUCAAAUGACGGCACAGCGAUUGAUCAAGGGAUUGCUUAUGUUCUUCUACUUGUUGCACUUGCGAUUACGUACUUGGUCCAUUAGUACACUCGUGGAGUUAUUUUUUUAAGCUUAUAAUCGAUUUUUUUAUUCAUCAUUUAAAUUCUUUAUGUAAUUUUCUCCUGUUCAGAAUGGAGAAUUUUAAAGUUUUGUGAUUAAAGGAAAUAAGGAAAGAAUUCUUAUUUGUGAUACAAAAUUCAUUUUUCUACGUUAUUGCGAAUUAUUGUACC